GUGCUCGCUUCAGCAGCACAUAUACUAAAAUUGGAACGAUACAGAGAAGAUUAGCAUGGCCCCUGUGCAAGGAUGACAUGCAAAUUUGUGAAGCAUUCCAUAUUUUA
rnacentral:snRNA from 1 species